CAGGGUGAAGCCGGUCCAAAAGGAUAUGCCGGAAAAGAUGGAGAACCCGGAGACAGGGGUAAYACUGGACCGCCAGGACCUCAAGGUCCUGUUGGACCCCCCGGAGCACAGGGACCUCGUGGACAACGCGGUUUACCUGGAGAGCAAGGUGUUCCGGGCGCUCCUGGUGAUGUAGGACCGCAAGGMAUUACUGGUCCUCCCGGAGCUGUUGGCGCAGUUG